AGGUGGAGCUGCUGCAGCACGUUAUCGACUACAUAUGGGACCUGCAGCUGGAGCUGCAGUGCGGCCCCCCGCACCCCGCCGCCGCCGGGGACUCCCCCGAGGCUCCGUGCAUUCCCGCUGCCGAUCGGAUCCUCUGCCGCUGAGACCGCUCUGGAGCCACCACGGACAUCAUCCCCGGGAUCCCGGUCCCACCACGGACAUCGUCCCCGGGACCCCGUCCCUGAGCACCGCGGCUCACCUGCAUCCCUGGCUCCCUGGAGGGGCUGCCCUGGGGGUCCCCCCGCAGUCUGGGCAGGGGGUGCUGUGGGCCGGAUCCUUCCUUCUCAGAUUGCUGAGAGCAUUCCCCGUAUUGUAUAUUACAAUGAUGCUGGAGAAUAUUGUUCUACAAUAGCUGGAGUUUUGUUAUUAAACAAGUCCCGAUGACCACACGUGCGUUUUCUUCUGCCCCUCACACCCCCUGCCCUGGGUUUUGGGUGUGUUUACUCACGGGGAUAUGUUCCCCAUCAAACGGUGGGCAACUUGGGGCUGGGUGGGUGUGCUGGGGGAUACAGGGUCCCUGUGGUGGUGCUUGGGAAGGGGUUUCUCACAGGCUGGUCCCAAUUCCCCAUGUCCCGGCAUUACCCUCAGAGAGCCUUUCCCAAUGGUUCCAGAGGGGUUUCACUCCCUCUAACUCCCUGGGAUCAGACGGUGAUCCCAGGUGUUGAGGUUCAGACAGAGUGGGGUGUUGAGGGUCAGACAGAGGAGGAAAGAUUGUUUGCACCCUGUCUUCUGUGGUGGGAUAAUGCUGCAGCAGUGGGAUGCAUCUUCCCCUGAUCAGGCACCUUGAUGGGGUGAGGACACACAGGGGUUUGUGGGGUUCUGUGCCCAGAUGGGAGUGUGAUUUCCCCAUCUCCCUGGACAGGGGUGUGUUCGAAGCCUGGAAUUCCCUUCACUCCCCCUCCCAGCUGGGCCACCUGCACCCAGCAGCCUUCCUGAGGCUCCCACAAUUAUUGCUCUGUCAGGACUGGGGGGUUACAUGGUGGUGAUGCAGGGAUUAAUCCCUUUACAGGGGACAGCAGUUACAAGUCCUGUGGUGCUUAUCUCUGUGGCCCCGCCCCUGUGGUUCCUGCUCUUCCUGGUGCACCCCCCUGCCUGUGGGGAUAGAACCUCUUGGGACAAGGAAAUUGCAUCAGGGGUUGUGCAACCCCGAGGGCUGGGGGUGCCCCGGGCAGCUGCCCUGACCUGAGCUUCCCUGUGACUCACAAAUACCCCAAGGACCUCCCCGGCUCCUGCUCCAGAUCUGUUCAGACCUUCAUACGGGCCUGCCAGGGGACAAUUGGGGUGCCUGGAG
rnacentral:lncRNA from 1 species